UACGGAGGGCGCGAGCGUUGUUCGGAAUCAUUGGGCGUAAAGCGCGCGUAGGCGGUCUUGCAAGUCUCGCUGUGAAAGCCCGGGGCUCAACCCCGGGAGGCCAGGGGAUACUGCUGGACUGGAGACAGGCAGAGGCUGGUGGAAUUCCGGGUGUAGCGGUGGAAUGCGUAGAGAUCCGGAGGAACACCGGAGGCGAAGGCGGCCAGCUGGGCCUGAUCUGACGCUGAGGUGCGAAAGCGUGGGGAGCGAACAGG
rnacentral:rRNA from 1 species